rnacentral:rRNA from 1 species
GAUGAACGCUGGCGGCGUGCCUAAUACAUGCCAGUCGAGCGAACGGACGAGAAGCUUGCUUCUCUGAUGUUAGCGGCGGACGGGUGAGUAACACGUGGAUAACCUACCUAUAAGACUGGGAUAACUUCGGGAAACCGAGCUAAUACCGGAUAAUAUUUUGAACCGCAUGGUUCAAAAGUGAAAGACGGUCUUGCUGUCACUUAUAGAUGGAUCCGCGCUGCAUUAGCUAGUUGGUAAGGUAACGGCUUACCAAGGCAACGAUGCAUAGCCGACCUGAGAGGGUGAUCGGCCACACUGGAACUGAGACACGGUCCAGACUCCUACGGGAGGCAGCAGUAGGGAAUCUUCCGCAAUGGGCGAAAGCCUGACGGAGCAACGCCGCGUGAGUGAUGAAGGUCUUCGGAUCGUAAAACUCUGUUAUUAGGGAAGAACAUAUGUGUAAGUAACUGUGCACAUCUUGACGGUACCUAAUCAGAAAGCCACGGCUAACUACGUG